rnacentral:rRNA from 1 species
AAAGCCGGAUUAAUACCGCAUACGAUCUACGGAUGAAAGCGGGGGAUCGCAAGACCUCGCGCUAUUGGGGUGGCCGAUGGCGGAUUAGCUAGUUGGUGGGGUAAAGGCCUACCAAGGCGACGAUCCGUAGCUGGUCUGAGAGGACGACCAGCCACACUGGGACUGAGACACGGCCCAGACUCCUACGGGAGGCAGCAGUGGGGAAUUUUGGACAAUGGGCGCAAGCCUGAUCCAGCAAUGCCGCGUGUGUGAAGAAGGCCUUCGGGUUGUAAAGCACUUUUGUCCGGAAAGAAAUCCUCUGGGUUAAUACCCCGGGGGGAUGACGGUACCGGAAGAAUAAGCACCGGCUAACUACGUGCCAGCAGCCGCGGUAAUACGUAGGGUGCGAGCGUUAAUCGGAAUUACUGGGCGUAAAGCGUGCGCAGGCGGUGAUGU